AGCCAUCAAAACACAAAAUAUUUUAUUUGUGACUCCAACCUAGACUUUACUUUUUAGUUCAAAAAAUUAAGAAAGAUGGUGAGGAUUACAAUCAAGAUAUCAUUUGUAAUGAUUCUUCUCGUUUUAGUAGCCACCAAUGGAUUUGGUCUCCCAACAACACCAACAAAUGUGAUGCCUCAAAAGGAUUGCCCUGGUGGUUGCAAUUAUCUAAUAAAUGCAUGUUAUCCACUAUUUCCUGCGUGUAUUAAUGGCAGGUGUACAUGUGCAAAGUUAGACAAUAAUAAUGCAAGCACAAAACAAGAACGCCAGUAUGUCAUAGAUGGUGAAAAAGGAAACUAGUAGCUACAUGCAUACCAUUAGAAAUAAUGCUAUAUUAGUUUACCUAUAUUUUAAUAAUAAUAAUCUUGGAAUUUAAUAAUUUGUUAUGACU